CUUAUACUUCCUCCGUCCCAAAAUUCUUGUCUUAGAUUUGUCUAAACAUAAAUGUAUGUAGUCACGUUUUAAUAUUUAAAUACAUCCAUUUUUAAACAAACCUAAGANNNGAAUUUUGGGACGGAGGAAGUAUAUA
rfam:Hordeum vulgare subsp. vulgare, WGS project CAJW01000000 data, contig: morex_contig_48462